GUACAGCACUUUCAGAUCUUUCCUGUAUCUUCCAUUCUUCCUAUCAUGAUCUUGGAAAAUGGAAGACAGCAUGAGGAAUAAGAGAAAGCAGGAUGGAGUGAGACACAAAUUGGGACACAUAUAUAGGUUAUGGACGCAGCUAAUCUCCAGCCUGUUCUCAGUGAACCAGGAUAGAUCCCCUCCUUUCUCUUCUUGUUGUCUGCUUGAAAAAGUUGAAUCACAAGUUUGUAAGCGCAGAAGAAAAAAUAAAAUACUGCCUCUAGAGCUCUCAUCAAAAGCUUGCUUUCAACAAAUAUUCUAA
rnacentral:lncRNA from 1 species